AAUCAACGCUGGCGGCGUGCGUAACACAUGCAAGUCGGACGAGAAAGCGGGGGCAACCCUGCGAGUAAAGUGGCAGACGGGUGAGUAACACGUGAACAAUCUACCCUCGAGUGGGGAAUAACCCCGCGAAAGCGGGGCUAAUACCGCAUAACAUCUUUUCACUGCAUGGUGAGAGGAUCAAAGGCGCAAGUUGCUCGGGGAGGAGUUCGCGGCUGAUUAGCUAGUUGGUGAGGUAACGGCCCACCAAGGCGACGAUCAGUAGCCGGCCUGAGAGGGCGUACGGCCACACUGGAACUGAGACACGGUCCAGACUCCUACGGGUGGCAG
rnacentral:rRNA from 1 species